rnacentral:sRNA from 1 species
AAAUAGCCCUGAUAGAAGCGGUAUCCUUUUUAUUUUUUCUUUAAAAAUAAAAAGAUACAAGCGGAUAGCAGGAAUAGCU